GUUCUGCUCGUGACGGGGCGGGCAACGAAGAAACAAACACGACACACUACGAGAAAUAAUAAAAACAAUAGAAAAGAAAAUGAUGAGCGAAACUGCCAUGGCCGUAU
rnacentral:sRNA from 18 species